AUGCCCCUGAAGAUCAAGAUUUUCGUUUGGCAGCUUCUGAGAGAUCGUUUAUCAUCUUUGGGGACCGAGGUGCUGAAACGCCAUGGUCCGGGCAAUGGCCUUUGCCCCCUCUGCCAGGUCCCGGAAACAGGAACGCACAUUUUGUUCUCAUGCGUAGCAGCGCAGGAACUUUGGUGCUUUGUUCGUGAGGCUCUGGGACUUUAG
rnacentral:rRNA from 1 species